CAGCCUCCCAAAGUACUGGGAUGACAGGUAUGAGCCACCACACCUGACCCUGAAAUUUAAAUUUUAACAGAUAUCCCGCUUUUUUCCUAAAUCUGGCUGCCCACCUCUACCCACGAUUGUAAAACUUCCCUUUUUAGCAGCAGCAGGUGAUCUGGCUCUCCUACAAGAUCCUGGAGUGAACAGGAACAAAGGGGACGGAAGGGGAGCUUGCAGGGAAACCAGGGCUCUGCGGGCAGCCGUGUGCUGUGUGAGCCCCGGCCCACCCUGAGGAGGAAGCGGCAGGCUAUUCCUGUCAGCUGCUGAUAACAUGCCACCAGGCGGGAAUUCGCUUUUGUGUUAAGUAUUUUAAUCAUGUCCGCUCGUUCACCUUUUUAAGUCACAUGGUUUUAUUUGCUGAUGGUGCUGUGCCAGCCUCGGGUUCUUCCAGACGCUCGGAAGGAAAGCUUCUCUGCAGGCUGCGUCAUCCCACUCCAAGGACUGGUGCUGGGCUCCCAGGGGAGUGUUGGGGAGGGAGUGAGCGCCAGCACAGAGGGAAGAAGGGAGGGUGUGGACUGACUACCUCUACCACUCAGUUGCUGUGUGACCUUGGGCAAGUCUCUUGACGUCUCUGAGCCUUAGUCUCUUUAGCUCAUGAGAAAUGGAGAUUAUAACACUAUAUGUGGCAGAGUUGAGGGAGAUUGAAUCAGAUAAUGUAUUUAUGGUGCCUAGCACGAGCAGCACUCCUGGGUGGUGGUGGCAGCGUUAUCCACAGUCCCAGCUUGGCCACUGAUAAGUUCUGUGAACCUAGGGAAGUCACUUAACCUCAGCCUCAGUUUCCUUAUAUGUACGGUUGGGGCUGCUGACAACUUAGCAAAAUUAUUGCUCAUCUUUUGGCUUCUCAGCAUCUUAACCCCUUUCCUAGAAUUUGGGAAUUCUCUGCCAUAGAAGCCUGCCUCCUAUUAUGGAAGACAAAAACGCUGGAUAUGUUAUCUCCCGGCUUCCUCGCAGCUAGCUAGGGUGUUGGUACUGUGUUUCCCUCCUUCCCGCUUCUGCGGAAAUUACCAUCAUACAUUUAUUAAUAGUGUCUUAUCUAUACAGACCAGUUUUUAUGGCUUUACCCUAAACAUUGUAAGGUAUUUGCAAAACAGAAACAGACAGUAUUACAAAGAGAAAAUAACUAGUCCGCAAUAGUGAAGAACAUUUUAAUAUCCCAGAGAAUAUUGGAAACCAGGGGAUCAAAGAUGGGGGGAGGGACGAAUGUAGAUUGCAGUAUAGUUGCAGCAGAGGAGGAAGGGACGAGGACAGGGGGAGAGACCGAGGACUGUGCCCGAGGCAGCCCCCACUCCCUGUUUCACUGAGCCUGGCUUCCACUUUCCCCCGUGCGUGGGGUGUUUGGUCCCUGCUACGCUGCACAGAGGGUGAACAUCUGGCCCUUUGCUUGCUUCCAGGUUCCAGCCAUGGCUCUAGCCCUGAUCUCCAAUAUGGUUUCUGUUCUGUUCCUGGCCCAUGGAGAUGUUUAUCUCAUUUUCAAGCCGACUAUGCCCUUUCCUCCUGUUGCCCCCCCAUCGGAUGAAAACAAUUGUUAUCUAAAACUCAUCAUUAAAAAGUGAUACAUUUUUGUUUUGAAUAGCA